UCUUAUCCAACAGCUUGCUUUCUUUCUUUAUUUUUUCCCCCGAGAAAGUCCACCAACACCAACUCGUAUAUUCCUUUUUCAUAGUACAAUAAUAAAUUAAUAAUUGCGUUUCACACACAUACAUCAUCAAAUCAAAGCCUCUCUCAAAUUCACAAUUCAAUCGUAUCAGUUAGAGCUCAGCAAAAAUGGCGAGACACGAAGAGCUUCCAAUCCAGUCUACUCAACACUCGAACCAGUGUACGGAGACGAAUCUCAGGUCGAAGAAGCUCAGCUCCGAUUCGACAGAUUGAAAUCUAAGUUCCUCGACGUCUUCGGCACCCUCCUCAAUUCUACGCCUCGAUCUCCAGGGAGAGUGAAUUUGAUUGGGGAACACAUUGAUUAUGAGGGGUACUCGGUGUUGCCGAUGGCGAUUCGGCAGGACACAAUCGUGGCGAUCCGGAAGAACGAUGCUGAAACUUCUCCGGAUUGCUAAUGUUAGCGACAAGUACUCCUUGUGUACUUACCUGCUGAUCCAACUCAGGAUAUUGAUCUGAAGAAUCAUAAAUGGGGUCAUUACUUCAUCUGUGGGUGCGUCCUCGAACCUUACUCCGCACUAUUUUGCUUUUAAUUACUGACUACAGUUUGAAGUAAAUUUGUUCAUGUUACUUUCUUGCUUCAUUAUACCAAUUUAUGUCA